UUCGCCGUCGCCAUUGCUCAGUUUCCGUGAAAACCCAACUCAGAGAGAGAGAGAGAGAGGUGAGUGAGUGAAAGAGAAGAAGAGAUAAGAAGGGGGUUUUUUAGGUGAAAGCUUGAAGUCUGGGAGGGGAGUGAGUUAAUGCAAGGGUUUUACAGUUGUUCAUUUUUAUCUCAGUGGUAGCGUAGAGACACGCGCCGUUGUCUGGGCCAGCCGCUCCGUGAUUUGUGGCCCAGUUCUGGAUGCAGUAGGUUCGUCGUUGUGGCGUGUUUCGUCCUCUAAGGGGUAAACGGUGUCGUUUGUUGACACGUACCCGCUAGAUUUGAUUUUAUUGUUUUUCAAAAGUACAACCUGUAAUAUAGGGUGAAAGUAUGUUAGUGUUAAUUAAAAAAAUUGAGUUCAAUUUUUGAACUAGUUGGUUUAAUUAUAAUAAAAGAAUUAAUUUAUAGCAUAACGAAAUUACAGAGUCC
rnacentral:lncRNA from 1 species